CCUACGGGAGGCAGCAGUGGGGAAUCUUCCGCAAUGGGCGCAAGCCUGACGGAGCAACGCCGCGUGAGUGAAGAAGGUCUUCGGAUUGUAAAACUCUGUCUUCAGGGAAGAAACAAAUGACGGUACCUGAGGAGGAAGCCCCGGCUAACUACGUGCCAGCAGCCGCGGUAAU
rnacentral:rRNA from 1 species